UAGCCAUGGUGUGGGCAAGCAAGAAGUAAUUCCUCGAAUCGUUCCCAACACUUAAAGAAAGUUUCAUCUCCUUUUUGGGAGAAGUUCAGUGUGUCUUAUCUGAGAGU